rnacentral:rRNA from 1 species
AACGAACGCUGGCCGCAGGCCUAACACAUGCAAGUCGAGCGAGGACUUCGGUUCUAGCGGCGGACGGGUGAGUAACGCGUGGGAAUGUGCCCUUCUCUACGGAAUAGCCCUGGGAAACUGGGAGUAAUACCGUAUACGCCCUAUUGGGGAAAGAUUUAUCGGAGAAGGAUCAGCCCGCGUUGGAUUAGGUAGUUGGUGGGGUAAUGGCCUACCAAGCCGACGAUCCAUAGCUGGUUUGAGAGGAUGAUCAGCCACACUGGGACUGAGACACGGCCCAGACUCCUACGGGAGGCAGCAGUGGGGAAUCUUAGACAAUGGGGGCAACCCUGAUCUAGCCAUGCCGCGUGAGUGAUGAAGGCCUUAGGGUUGUAAAGCUCUUUCAGCUGGGAAGAUAAUGACGGUACCAGCAGAAGAAGCCCCGGCUAACUCCGUG